UUACGGCCAGGGCUACACACGUGCUACAAUGGUCGGUACAAAGGGUUGCUACACAGCGAUGUGAUGCUAAUCUCAAAAAGCCGAUCGUAGUCCGGAUUGGAGUCUGCAACUCGACUCCAUGAAGUCGGAAUCGCUAGUAAUCGCGGAUCAGAAUGCCGCGGUGAAUACGUUCCCGGGCCUUGUACACACCGCCCGUCACACCAUGGGAGUUUGUUGCACCAGAAGUAGCUAGCCUAACUGCAAAGAGGGCGGUUACCACGGUGUGGCCGAUGACUGGGGUG
rnacentral:rRNA from 1 species